rnacentral:rRNA from 1 species
UUAGAGUUUGAUUCUGGCUCAGGAUGAACGCUAGCGGCAGGCUUAACACAUGCAAGUCGAGGGGCAGCGCGGGGCGGCAACGUCCUGGCGGCGACCGGCGGAAGGGUGCGUAACGCGUGAGCGACAUGCCCGUUGCCCGGGGACAACCGGUGGAAACCGCCGACUAAUCCCCGAUGGGAUACGAUGCUUCAUGGCAUUGUAUUGAAAGUUACGGCGGCGACGGAUUGGCUCGCGUCCGAUUAGCUUGUUGGCGGGGUAACGGCCCACCAAGGCUGCGAUCGGUAGGGGUUCUGAGAGGAAGGCCCCCCACAAUGGGACUGAGACACGGCCCAUACUCCUACGGGAGGCAGCAGUGAGGAAUAUUGGUCAAUGGGCGGAAGCCUGAACCAGCCAUGCCGCGUGCGGGAAGGAGGCCCUAUGGGCUGUGAACCGCUUUUGCCUGGGGGCAAUAAGGGCGUCGCGCACGUCCGAUGAGAGUACCAGGCGAAUAAGCAUCGGCUAACUCCGUGCCAGCAGCCGCGGUAAUACGGGGGAUGCGAGCGUUAUCCGGAUUCAUUGGGUUUAAAGGGUGCGUAGGCUGUGCGUCAAGUCGGGGGUGAAAUUCCGGUGCUCAACACCGGGGCUGCCCUUGAUACUGUCGCGCUGGAGUGCGGAUGCCGCCGGAGGAAUGAGUGGUGUAGCGGUGAAAUGCUUAGAUAUCACUCAGAACACCGAUUGCGAAGGCAUCUGGCGAAUCCGUAACUGACGCUGAGGCACGAAAGCGUGGGGAUAGAACAGGAUUAGAUACCCUGGUAUUCCACGCCGUAAAC